GCGAAGCUUGUGCGUUUGGGGUGCGUUCGUCGUUCCGAUGGCUUCGUUGGGUCAAUCGUCGCCGUCCAUCUCCCUGCUCCGCCUCACCGUUUGCUUUGCACCUUGGUAUAGGAACGAAAUAGUGACUGUACUUGGGUUAAGGAGAGCCUAAUUUGCGGUGCACAAAAGUUUCCUAGAACCUUCUUGGUUACGCGACUCACAUUGCUGGUUGAUUCUUAUCUGAACUUGCUGUCAGGUGUCACGUGGAUUAUGCAACAUCGAGAUUCUUUUGGUAUCCAACUUCAUUGAUCUUCAUUUGUUGGAUCAAUGAAGUUGUCAUUGAAGAAAGAUGGACAGUUUUUUAGGACCUACAAAUGUAUUUUUUUUCUUUUUUUUUUUUGAAAAGAAAGACACCUACAAAUGUAUUUAGAUUUACAGGCUUUGCAAAAUCACAAUGUACAUCCAAAUGGACAGUUUUUUAGGACCUACAAAUGUAUGUAUUUAGAUUUACAGGCUUUGCAAAAUCACAAUGUACAUUCAAUGUACAACUCUUGUGUAAAAAACCAGUGAUUAAUGUUUUUAUACUGAUUUGUAUUUGUUCAUUUUAA